rnacentral:misc_RNA from 1 species
GGUGGCCUAGGCCCAUUAUGUAAGAACAGGUGGUCUAAUGUGUAGGAUACUAGCUGUGACCAACGUGACCAUGAUCAACAUGGUCAUGACCAGCGAGGACAUUAGUUCUCCAAGCGUGGGAUAUUGUUAUGAUCCCACAUCGCUAAGGAACAACUUUGUUGAGAGGUUAAUAAGUCCCCAGGCACCCUUCCUUUUUAAGUCGGUUUUCAAUGGUGAGUUCUAUCUAGGUAGCCUAUUUUUCACGUGGUUCAUGGUGCACAACAGUUCAUAUCAAUAAUUUUUACGAUCCCACAUUGCUAAGAAACAAUUUUAGUGAGAGGUUAACAAGUCCCUAGGCUCCUCUCCUUGCAAGCCGAUUUUCAAGAGUGAGUUCUACUUAGAUUGCCUAUUUCUUACAUGGUUAAAGCUCAACGGCUCGUGGUGCUCAAGUUCAUAUCAGUUGGUGUCAAAGCUAGCCAUAUCUUGCGAGACCUGACACUCAGAGUGAUGGCCCAUGGAGUGGUGGCUCACAGAGUGGUGGCCUAGAUCCAUAUUGUGUAAGGACAGGUGGUCCAAUGUGUAAGGAGAGGUGGUCCAAUAUAUAAGAUGCUAGCCGUGACUAAUGUAACUGUAACCAACAUGGCCGUGACCUAGGCCAUCAAUAUUGUGUAAGGAUAGGUGGUCUUAUGUGUAAGGUGCUAGCCAUGAUCAACAUGACCGAAACCAACAUGGCCGUGACCAACAAGAAUGU